rnacentral:lncRNA from 1 species
AACCUUUCAUACCAUUAAGUAUUGAAAAAGGAGUUACUGCCAUUACAUUGGCGUUGCGUGGGCGCAUAGCUACACUUAGCUUUACAACUUUUCAUAGCGAAUGAGAUGUCAAGUCUUUCGUAUUGUGUUGAGUACAUUGAUGCGUCUAAUUGUACUUAGAUGGGAACUCCAUCUCUUAACACAUAUUUGUCCUCUUGCUUUAGACAAAACAACGGAUCUCUCUUUAGAGCAAAGACCUUGACUAAUCAUGAGAGUAUAUGUAGGCCUCACUAGUUAUAGAGCGCCUAAGCCGAUUGAUGGAAAAUCAUCAUCAAUACAGUCAUCGAGUGCCUUAUCGAGACCAUGUCUUCCUAAGAUCUUUUUCUUCGGAUGUUGAUACAUAUUGACAUCUCUUGAUCCAUCAAGAGUCCAUGUAAAUCCGGAAUGAACACGCAAAGGCAUAAUUCACCAUAUCCCUUCCAAAUCAAGUAGAGUCCAUGUGUGUUUCAAUACAUUUAGCAAACACAUGCUCCUGUGGUUUGGAGCCACUUGAUUCGGAUGAAUAAAGUCCGUUUAAGAUCUUCAUGUAUAUCUCUGAUCCCAUAGAGAUGUUAUUAUGACCACAUUCAUAGGCUGCUUGUUCAGUUAUUCGGAAACUACCAAACUGACAAAGUAGUGGAGUUCAAUGACAUCUAUUACGAGAGCAUAUUUCAUCGUAGUUGAUCCCAGUGCGUGUUAGUGAAAGACCUUGCGCCAUAAGGUGAGUCUAAGCUCUUACUCUCAUUACGCUAUCUAAGAAAGGCAUAAUUGAUAGGGUUUAGCUUGCGGUGUCGGCAUCACCUGCCCAAGGACCUAUCUCUUUGUUAAUGCUGGAUCGCAUCUUUCCAUUAGGCCAAUCAACUAAGUUGAUAUCCAUCAACGAAGGGUGGUUCGAUAGUAGACUCAUUAUCUCACGUCCUCAUGUACACUAGUGUAAUACUUGUAGAGAUCUCUAUAUGGAUUGGAUUUGACAUUGAGGCGUCCCCCAACAAUAAUCACAAUUCAGACUUCAUGAGACGGAUUUGAGUAUCACUGAUCAAUGGAUCAGGUUGUGCCAAGCUCGCUUUCUUUCUAGUGCAAGACAAUAUCGAACCGAAGGGCCUCCCUCCUUUUAGGGAGCCACACGGCCUUGUGACACCAAUUUUGCCACUAUAUGGCGUCACCAUAUCACCAUCCAUGGUGAUGGCGUCAAGACCAACACUUUUUGGUCGCGCCAUGUCCUUUUGUAGGACAUCAAUCCUUGCAGACAUAUUUGCAGCAUGUGAUCUCGUCACUUUAACACUAUAAGCAUUUGGGAUCAAGAUGAGACUUAGUGGGGACAAACCACGACAAUUCACGUCGUUCCACUUGAACACUUGUGUUCUUAUCUCCCCCUAACGGCGGGAAUAUUGUCUCAUCAAAGUGACAAUCCACAAUUUAGCGAUGAAUGAGAUCGCCUGACAAGGUUCCUACAUAUGCGGAUUAUAGGUGGAGGUUCAUAUCCAACCUAAACUUAUUCAUCUCAAAUGACCCAUCAUUGUACGCAGUGGCAAUGCGAUUUGACACCUAGAAANNNN